rnacentral:rRNA from 1 species
UACGUAGGGCGCAAGCGUUGUCCGGAAUUAUUGGGCGUAAAGAGCUCGUAGGCGGUUUGUCGCGUCUGCUGUGAAAACCUAAGGCUCAACCUUGGGCUUGCAGUGGGUACGGGCAGACUAGAGUGCGGUAGGGGUGACUGGAAUUCCUGGUGUAGCGGUGGAAUGCGCAGAUAUCAGGAGGAACACCGAUGGCGAAGGCAGGUCACUGGGCCGCA